rnacentral:lncRNA from 1 species
AAAAUGACUGCAGUCUAGAAAGAUUGACUCAGGAGGAAAAUGUAAAAUGAUAACUCAGAGGGAGUCAUGAUAACAGCCUGCAAAUGCUGUAGCAUGUGAAUGCCAAAGAAGGAGAGGAAUUUACUGCUGUGCAAAGGAGGUAACUUAAAUGCCUUCUGAUUAAAACCAUAUGAAGCUUUGAUUCUGGGAUUCAAGAGGCCAUAUGAAUGCAUAUAUUAGAAAGGAGCUGUUCCGGAUGGUAACCGCUUUAUUUCUGAGAUCACAAAAUUGUGACGGAAUUGGUGGAAGGCAGAGCAGUACACCUUGUUUCCUUGUGGAACCUGCUUAAGAUGGACUUCAGUAAGUUUUUCCCAUCCGGUCUGUUGUUCCUCAUGAAGUGAACAUAAGCAAGGCUCUCAAGGACGUCAGGCCAGGAGGUUUGGGGAAGAGAUCAAAUGAAAAUAAAGAACAUCAUGUGCAAUGGAAUAGGAAAUUCUUUAAUUCUAGUUGUGAUCUCAUUGGUGGUGGAAGAACUGACAGUAACUGCUGCUUGGGGAGUACUCAUCUUACAAUCUGCUAAGUUCUACGGAAAAAAAAUGUCACUAGCAGAAUAGUCCAAUGAGUACAACAGAAGAACUAAAACCAAAAAAUCAUCCGUUGGCUGAAAGAAUAGAAGUACACGUGAAUACUUCUUGUACUAGUGAGUAUUGUAGAAGAUAAUAAAGAGUUACAUUUCAGAGAGUCUUUAGCA